AGCUCCAGGGACCCUUCUUGGAGACCAUCAUGGAAAAUCCUGAGGAAGGAAGGGAGCUGCUUCUCAGGGGGAUCUCCAAGGAAGAUCAGUGUGGUGACACUUCAGGAGACAGUAGGACGAUGUCGAUUGUGUCUGUAGGAUCCUCUCCUUUUUCUACUGUCUUCGAAAGAGCAGUUGGACCUCCAGCUCAGCUUCACUUUCUUAGCUCCCAUCCAGCCAGUGGCUCAGACCACAAACAGCUUCCCUGAAAUCUGUGGAAAAGCAGAAAUUGUGCUGUGCCUUGCUGCAUCUUGAAGGCCCCCAAACAGAUCCCAGGGUGAGUUCUCCCAGCUCUUCUGUGAAGCUGUUGAGCGUAGGCAGGAUUGCUCCCUCAGGGUCCGUAACAGACCCUU